ACUGAAUGGGCUAGGGCAUACACCAAUGUACCAAACCCUAUCAAACUCCGAAUACUUAUAGCGUAACCACGGCAGUCAGGCGGCGAGUGAUAAAAUCCGUCGUCAAGAGGGAAACAACCCGGACUAACAGCUAAGGUCCCCAAAUCUCAUUUAAGUGGAAAACGAUGUGAAGUUACUGAAACAACCAGGAGGUUGGCUUAGAAGCAGCCAUCCUUUAAAGAUAGCGUAAUAGCUCACUGGUCUAGUGAUUUUGCGCGGAAAAUAUAACGGGGCUAAAAUGAGUACCGAAGCUUUAGAUAGUGUCUAUGAUUAUUUAUACUAAGCUUGUCUCUUUGGCAUCUUUAAAUGAGCUUCAUUUUUUCUCCUGCGGCAACCUACACGGUUAGCCUUAGUCGAAAAAAUAUCAGCAACAUUUAAAUCUGCUCAAAGAUACUUCGCUUCUUGCAUUCAAAUUUAAAUGCAACGUCUUGAUCUAAAUUCUAGAAAUUUCAAAAUUUCUUAGAAUUUCAAAAUUUAGCAACAAAAGCAAAAAGACAAGCCGGGUAGUAUAAAUACUCAUAGACACUGUGGUAGGAGAGCGUUCCAAUCAGCGUCGAAGCCGUACCGGUAAGGAGCGGUGGAGCGGUUGGAAGUGAGCAUGCAGGCAUGAGUAGCGAUAAAAUACGUGAGAAUCGUAUUCGCCGUAAACCCAAGGUUUCCUACGCGAUGCUCGUCAUCGUAGGGUUAGUCGGGUCCUAAGCAAAGUCCGAAAGGGGUAUGCGAUGGAAAAUCGGUUAAUAUUCCGAUACCGAUAUCAGUGUGCGACGGAAGGACGCUUAAAGUUAGUGGAGCUAGCGGAUGGAAGUGCUAGUCUAAGGAAGUAGGUUGAGUUAUAGGCAAAUCCGUAACUCUUUAUCCGAGAUCUGAAAGGCUUCUGACGCUCUUCGGAGUAGAUGAAGAAUCCAUGAUACUAUCGAGCCGAGAAAAGUUUCUAAGUUUAGCUGAUAUCGCCCGUACCGUAAACCGACACAGGUGGGUGGGAUGAGUAUUCUAAGGCGCGUGGAAGAACUCUCUUUAAGGAACUCUGCAAAAUAGCACCGUAUCUUCGGUAUAAGGUGUGCCUAGCUUCGUUAAGAAUUUACUUCGUAAGCGAAGAAGGUUACAACAAAGAGUCCCUCCCGACUGUUUACCAUAAACACAGCACUCUGCUAACUCGUAAGAGGAUGUAUAGGGUGUGACGCCUGCCCGGUGCUCGAAGGUUAAUUGAUGAUGUUAGCUUACGCAAAGCAUCUGAUCGAAGCCCGAGUAAACGGCGGCCGUAACUAUAACGGUCCUAAGGUAGCGAAAUUCCUUGUCGGUUAAAUACCGACCUGCAUGAAUGGCGUAACGAGAUGGGAGCUGUCUCAAAGAGGGAUCCAGUGAAAUUGUAGUGGAGGUGAAAAUUCCUCCUACCCGCGGCAAGACGGAAAGACCCCGUGGACCUUUACUAUAGCUUGACACUGCUACUUGGAUAAAGAUGCGCAGGAUAGGUGGGAGGCUUUGAUUCGUAGAUCUCGGUUUACGAUGAGCCAUUGUUGAGAUACCACUCUUCUUUAUUCGGGUAGCUAACUAGCCUAAGUUAUCCUUAGGUAGGACAAUGUCUGGUGGGUAGUUUGACUGGGGCGGUCGCCUCCCAAAAUGUAACGGAGGCUUACAAAGGUUGGCUCAAAGCGGUUGGAAAUCGCUUGCAGAGUAUAAAGGCAAAAGCCAGCUUAACUGCGAGACAUACACGUCGAGCAGAGACGAAAGUCGGUCUUAGUGAUCCGGUGGUUCUGUGUGGAAGGGCCAUCGCUCAAAGGAUAAAAGGUACCCCGGGGAUAACAGGCUGAUCUCCCCCAAGAGCUCACAUCGACGGGGAGGUUUGGCACCUCGAUGUCGGCUCAUCGCAUCCUGGGGCUGGAGAAGGUCCCAAGGGUUGGGCUGUUCGCCCAUUAAAGCGGUACGCGAGCUGGGUUCAGAACGUCGUGAGACAGUUCGGUCCCUAUCUGCCGUGGGCGUAAGAAGAUUGAGGAGAGUUGACCCUAGUACGAGAGGACCGGGUUGAACCGACCACUGGUGUACCGGUUGUUCUGCCAAGAGCACCGCCGGGUAGCUAAGUCGGGAUGCGAUAAGAGCUGAAAGCAUCUAAGCUCGAAGCCGACUCCAAGAUGAAUCUUCUUUUAAGAGCUCUAGUAGACUACUAGUUUGAUAGGCCGGAUGUGUAAUGGAUGAAAGUCCUUUAGCUGACCGGUACUAAUAGCUCGUUUGCUUAUCUUU
rnacentral:rRNA from 1 species